UGUUUGCAUAGUGUGUGUAUAUAAUGCAGUGUGUUUGUGUAGUGUGUUUAUAUAAUACACACUACACAAACACACUGCAUUAUAUACACACACUAUACAAAC